rnacentral:rRNA from 1 species
GACGAACGCUGGCGGCAUGCCUAAUACAUGCAAGUCGAACGCUGAAGCACUCUGCUUGCAGAGUGCGGAUGAGUGGCGAACGGGUGAGUAACACGUGGGAAAUCUGCCUAGGAGUGGGGGAUAACAUUCGGAAACGGAUGCUAAUACCGCAUAUCUUUUUGAACCGCAUGGUUCUUAAACGAAAGACGGCUUCGGCUGUCGCUCUUAGAUGAUCCCGCGGCGUAUUAGUUAGUUGGUGGGGUAAAGGCCUACCAAGACCAUGAUACGUAGCCGACCUGAGAGGGUGAUCGGCCACACUGGGACUGAGACACGGCCCAG